rnacentral:tRNA from 1 species
ACUUUUCUAGUAUAAUACAGUAUAAGUGACUUCCACUCACUAGGCCUUAAUAAAUUAAGGAAAAGUA